rnacentral:rRNA from 1 species
UACGGAGGGGGCAAGCGUUGUUCGGAAUUACUGGGCGUAAAGGGCUCGUAGGCGCCAACUAAGUCAGACGUGAAAUCCCUCGGCUUAACCGGGGAACUGCGUCUGAUACUGGUUGGCUUGAGUUUGGGAGAGGGAUGCGGAAUUCCAGGUGUAGCGGUGAAAUGCGUAGAUAUCUGGAGGAACACCGGUGGCGAAGGCGGCAUCCUGGACCAACACUGACGCUGAGGAGCGAAAGCCAGGGGAGCAAACGGG